UACGUAGAGUGCGAGCGUUGUCCGGAAUUAUUGGGCGUAAAGGGCUCGUAGGCGGUUUGUCGCGUCGGGAGUGAAAAUCCAGGGCUUAACUCUGGACUGGCUUCCGAUACGGGCAGACUAGAGGUAUGCAGGGGAGAACGGAAUUCCUGGUGUAGCGGUGAAAUGCGCAGAUAUCAGGAGGAACACCGGUGGCGAAGGCGGUUCUCUGGGCAGAUACUGACACUGAGGCGCGACAGCGUGGGGAGCAAACAGG
rnacentral:rRNA from 1 species